rnacentral:tRNA from 1 species
GCUGGGUGGCUCAGUCGGUUGAGCGUCUGACUUCGGCUCAGGUGGUGAUCUCACAAUUUGUGAGUUCGAGCCCCAUGUCCAGCU